UACGGAGGGUGCGAGCGUUGUCCGGAAUCAUUGGGCGUAAAGGGCGCGUAGGUGGCCCGGUCAGUCUUUGGUGAAAGCGCGGGGGCUCAACCCCUGCGUCGGCCAGGGAUACUGCCGCGGCUCGAGCACUGUAGAGGCAGGCGGAAUUCCGGGUGUAGCGGUGGAAUGCGUAGAGAUCCGGAAGAACACCGGUGGCGAAGGCGGGUCUCUGGGCCGAAAUUGACGCUGAGGAGCGAAAGCGUGGGGAGCAAACAGG
rnacentral:rRNA from 1 species